rnacentral:tRNA from 1 species
GCUCUAUGAGCAUAGUGGUUAGUGCAUCCGACUUUAACUCCUCUAUGCUUAUUUGAGAAAUAAGUUUCGUUGAAUGUGAAAACACAUUUCUAUCGGAAGACAAGGGUUCGAUUCCCUUAUAGAGUA